GUAGUUAGAAAUUCUUCUAUUACUUAUUUAAUUAUAUUACUAUCUUGAUUCAACGAAAUCUUUCAGAAUUUUAUUUCGAGUUAGCAACUUCUAUUUUUUUUUUUGUUCCUUUCUUCUUUUUGGAUUGGAAAAUGGAAUAGUUGGUUAAAUAACAAAUCCAAAGGAGGUUCAUGGCCAAGGGUAAAGAUGUUCGAGUAACAGUUAUUUUGGAAUGUGCCAAAUGUACUCGAAAUGGUGCUAACAUGGAAUCAAUGAGUAUU